rnacentral:rRNA from 1 species
UACGUAGGGUGCGAGCGUUGUCCGGAAUUAUUGGGCGUAAAGAGCUCGUAGGCGGCUUGUCGCGUCGGAUGUGAAAGCCCGGGGCUUAACUCCGGGUCUGCAUUCGAUACGGGCAGGCUAGAGUUCGGUAGGGGAGAUCGGAAUUCCUGGUGUAGCGGUGAAAUGCGCAGAUAUCAGGAGGAACACCGGUGGCGAAGGCGGUUCUCUGGGCCUUACCUGACGCUGAGGGGCGAAAGCGUGGGGAGCAAACAGG